rfam:Paracoccus sp. 361 scaffold_4, whole genome shotgun sequence.
GGUUCGGGAGCCGCGCGGUGGGACGCGUGGCACGAAUGGAACCUCACCCCUGCAUUCGUAGGUGCGUUCCGGGGGCCCCGACCCGGACGCGC